UCCGUUAGGGGGGCCUGCGGAGGGAUCAUUACACAAAUAUGAAGGCGGGCUGGAACCUCUCGGGGUUACAGCCUUGCUGAAUUAUUCACCCUUGUCUUUUGCGUACUUCUUGUUUCCUUGGUGGGUUCGCCCACCACUAGGACAAACAUAAACCUUUUGUAAUUGCAAUCAGCGUCAGUAACAAAUUAAUAAUUACAACUUUCAACAACGGAUCUCUUGGUUCUGGCAUCGAUGAAGAACGCAGCGAAAUGCGAUAAGUAGUGUGAAUUGCAGAAUUCAGUGAAUCAUCGAAUCUUUGAACGCACAUUGCGCCCUUUGGUAUUCCAAAGGGCAUGCCUGUUCGAGCGUCAUUUGUACCCUCAAGCUUUGCUUGGUGUUGGGCGUCUUGUCUCUAGCUUUGCUGGAGACUCGCCUUAAAGUAAUUGGCAGCCGGCCUACUGGUUUCGGAGCGCAGCACAAGUCGCACUCUCUAUCAGCAAAGGUCUAGCAUCCAUUAAGCCUUUUUUUCAACUUUUGACCUCGGAUCAGGUAGGGAUACCCGCUGAACUUAAGCAUAUCAUAAGCCGGAGGA
rnacentral:rRNA from 1 species